GGCUCAGGAUGAACGCUAGCGGCAGGCUUAACACAUGCAAGUCGAGGGGCAGCGUGAAGGUUAGCAAUAACCUUUGACGGCGACCGGCGCAAGGGUGCGUAACGCGUGAGCAACUUGCCCUUAUCAGGGGGAUAACCGGUGGAAACGCCGACUAAUACCCCAUGGCAUCACAUCAAGGCAUCUUUUUGUGAUUAAAGAAAUUCGGAUAAGGAUAGGCUCGCGUGACAUUAGCUAGACGGCGGGGUAACGGCCCACCGCGGCGACGAUGUCUAGGGGUUCUGAGAGGAAGGUCCCCCACACUGGAACUGAGACACGGUCCAGACUCCUACGGGAGGCAGCAGUGAGGAAUAUUGGUCAAUGGUCUGACGACUGAACCAGCCAUGCCGCGUGAAGGUCACGGCCCUAUGGGUCUUAAACUUCUUUUGCGAGGGAGCAAUAAGGUCUACGUGUAGUCCGAUGAGAGUACCUCGCGAAUAAGCAUCGGCUAACUCCGUG
rnacentral:rRNA from 1 species